rnacentral:tRNA from 1 species
GUCUAAUGGAUAGGACAUAGGUCCUCUAAACCUUUGGUAUAGGUUCAAAUCCUAU